GAUGAACGCUGGCGGCGUGCCUAACACAUGCAAGUCGAGCGAUCUUCUUCGGAAGAGAGCGGCAGACGGGUGAGUAACGCGUGGGUAACCUGCCUCAUACACAUGGAUAACAUACCGAAAGGUAUGCUAAUACAAGAUAAUAUAAGAGAUUCGCAUGGAUUUCUUAUCAAAGCUCCGGCGGUAUGAGAUGGACCCGCGUCUGAUUAGCUAGUUGGUAAGGUAACGGCUUACCAAGGCGACGAUCAGUAGCCGACCUGAGAGGGUGAUGCGGCCACAUUGGAACUGAGACUCGGUCCAAACUCCUACGGGAGGCAGCAGUGGGGAAUAUUGCACAAUGGGCGAAAGCCUGAUGCAGUAACGCCGCGUGAGCGAUGAAGGCCUUCGGGUCGUAAAGCUCUGUCCUCAAGGAAGAUAAUGACGGUACUUGAGGAGGAAGCCCCGGCUAACUACGUGCCAGCCGCCGCCGUAA
rnacentral:rRNA from 1 species